rnacentral:tRNA from 1 species
GGCGCGCUGGUCUAAUGGCAGGACACCGGACUUUCACUCCGGCUGGUACGGGUUCGAGUCCCGUGCGCGCUACCA